CCAAUAGCGUAUAUUAAAGUUGUUGCAGUUAAAAAGCUCGUAGUUGAAUUUCGGGAUCAGUAGGUUGGUCAUGCCUCCGGUAUGUACUGGUCUCACUGGUUCCUCCUUCCUGAUGAACCGUAAUGCCAUUAAUCUGGUGUUGCGGGGAGACUGGACUGUUUCUUUGAAAAAAUUAGAGUGUUUAAAGCAGGCUUACGCUUGAAUACAUUAGCAUGGAAUAAUGAUAUAGGACGUUCGAUCCUAUUAUUGUUGGUUUCUAGGAUUGACGUAAUGAUUAAUAGGGAUAGUUGGGGGCAUUAGUAUUCAAUUGUCAGAGGUGAAAUUCUUGAAUUUAUUGAAGACUAACUACUGCGAAAGCAUUUGCCAAGGAUGUUUUCAUUAAUCAAGAACGAAAGUUAGGGGAUCGAAGACGAUCAGAUACCGUCGUAGUCUUAACCAUAAACUAUGCCGACUAGGGAUCGGAUGAUGUUAAUUUUUUAAUGACUCAUUCGGCGCCUUACG
rnacentral:rRNA from 1 species